UACGUAGGGUGCAAGCGUUAAUCGGAAUUACUGGGCGUAAAGCGUGCGCAGGCGGUUUUGUAAGUCUGGCGUGAAAGCCCCGGGCUCAACCUGGGAAUUGCGAUGGAGACUGCAAGGCUUGAAUCUGGCAGAGGGGGGUAGAAUUCCACGUGUAGCAGUGAAAUGCGUAGAGAUGUGGAGGAACACCGAUGGCGAAGGCAGCCUCCUGGGCCAGCACUGACGCUCAUGCACGAAAGCGUGGGGAGCAAACAGG
rnacentral:rRNA from 1 species